rnacentral:rRNA from 1 species
UACAGAGGGUGCAAGCGUUGUUCGGAAUUACUGGGCGUAAAGCGAGUGUAGGUGGUUGUCAUAGUCAGGUGUGAAAGCCUUGAGCUCAACUCAAGAAAUGCACUUGAUACUGGGCGACUAGAGGACCGGAGAGGAUAGUGGAAUUCCCAGUGUAGUGGUGAAAUACGUAGAGAUUGGGAAGAACACCAGUGGCGAAGGCGGCUAUCUGGACGGUUUCUGACACUAAGACUCGAAAGCGUGGGGAGCAAACAGG